UUCCCUCUGUGCCCUGCUGCUCUCUGCAGGUGGAAAGCGAGAAGAAAAGGGUGGUGGAGUUCAUGUGCCAGAUCCUGCCGUACGUGGAGAGCCCCCAGGAGCGCCUGAAAGAGAUGGCCCUCAGGUUCAUUGGGAUCGCCACCAAGUACCUGAGAAAGGGGGAGGAGGAGGAUGAGUCCAUCACAGAGGUCAUCAUUGAGGCCCUUCAAAGCAUUACUGCUGACAGCCCUGCCAUCAAAAAGCGGGCAGAUGAAACCAUGAAAAUCAUCAAGGAUUUCCAGAAAUCAAAAC